CUAUGUUGCUAUCCCCUCUCUCACCUUUCUCGACAACUGGAGACCAGUAAGACGAGAUGCACCAAGGAUCCACUUCGACGGACAACUAACGCUGAAGACACUUACUAUAACAGGCUUAACCAGACGGGACCCAUAGAAGUUAUGCUUUCCCUAAAGAUUUGAAAUCCUCCCUAGAACAAUCUAAACCUCACAAGCUUCCUAGCUCAAACUUCUUGUGACGUGUCUAAUACACGGAUUUAGCAGAGCACCCAUU
rnacentral:lncRNA from 1 species